CCUACGGGAGGCAGCAGUGGGGAAUAUUGGACAAUGGGGGGAACCCUGAUCCAGCCAUGCCGCGUGUGUGAAGAAGGCCCUCGGGUUGUAAAGCACUUUCAGUGAGGAAGAACGCCUGGUGGUUAAUACCCAUCAGGAAAGACAUCACUCACAGAAGAAGCACCGGCUAACUCCGUGCCAGCAGCCGCGGUAAUACGGAGGGUGCGAGCGGUAAUCGGAAUUACUGGGCGUAAAGCGCGCGUAGGUGGCUUGAUAAGCCGGUUGUGAAAGCCCCGGGCUCAACCUGGGAACGGCAUCCGGAACUGUCAAGCUAGAGUGCAGGAGAGGAAAGUAGAAUUCCCGGUGUAGCGGUGAAAUGCGUAGAGAUCGGGAGGAAUACCAGUGGCGAAGGCGGCCUUCUGGACUGACACUGACACUGAGGUGCGAAAGCGUGGGUAGCAAACAGGAUUAGAUACCCUGGUAGUC
rnacentral:rRNA from 1 species